GCUUUCCUGGUGUAGUGGUCAACACGGUCGACUAGUAACCGAGAGGUCCGUGGUUCGAUUCGCGGGGAAGGCG
rfam:Stegodyphus mimosarum contig149850, whole genome shotgun sequence.